rnacentral:rRNA from 1 species
UACGGAGGAUGCAAGCGUUAUCCGGAAUGAUUGGGCGUAAAGCGUCCGCAGGUGGCUAUGUAAGUCUGCUGUUAAAGAGUGAGGCUCAACCUCAUAAGAGCAGUGGAAACUACAUGGCUAGAGUGCGUUCGGGGCAGAGGGAAUUCCUGGUGUAGCGGUGAAAUGCGUAGAUAUCAGGAAGAACACCGGUGGUGAAAGCGCUCUGCUAGGCUGCAACUGACACUGAGGGACGAAAGCUAGGGGAGCGAAUGGG